GACAGAGGGUGCAAACGUUGCUCGGAAUUACUGGGCGUAAAGCGCGUGUAGGCUGCUCUGCAAGUCGGGUGUGAAAGCCCCGGGCUCAACCUGGGAAGUGCACUCGAAACUGCAGAGCUCGAGUCCUGGAGAGGAAGGCGGAAUUCUCGGUUGUAGAGGUGAAAUUCGUAGAUAUCGAGAGGAACACCGGUGGCGAAGGCGGCCUUAGCUGGACCAGUGACGUGACGCUGAGACGGCGAAAGCG
rnacentral:rRNA from 1 species